UGAACUGCGCGUCACUGCCGCGCGUGGCGGCUGGAGAGAAUAUCGUGCGGGGCGCUGCCGCGACGCGCAGUUCAGUUCGAGUGCGUGGGCACCUUUAUACUAACUUAUUUCCGUGGAUAGAGUACAGGUACUUAUUUGUAGGGAUAUCAUCACAGUUUUAAUUUAUUAGGGUGCUAUUUUGAAAUCAUAGACUAUCACUAGUUAUUUCUUUAGAGUUUUGUUGUUUAAUUCUUGUAUAAUGUAGCUAGUAACUUAAUUACAUUUUAUGAAACUAAAACAUUUUUGUUAUACAAUAAAAAUGUUUAAAAUCUGUAUAAAUCCUGUAACAUAAUAUCAGUUCAAUGUCUGUAAUAAAAUUAUUUCGAAGGAACAAACAAUUUUAUUUGACUGUAAGAGUUAGCGCAAACGGGCCACAGACCACCGGUGGCUGUCGCGUUCCACGCCCUUUGGUACCGCGCCAACGAAGGUGGACGAUGGCUGCCACGAGUGAUCGGUGGUUACAUAGUGGUCGUUGGUAGCCGCUACAAUUCAUAACUCUCCCGCUGUAAGUAGCGCGUGGCCACCUCCGGUGACAUGUUGCGGACACAGAUUGAAAUCUAUAGAGCGCACUUUGACUUUGCUUAGACUUAAGAUUUAGUUAAAACGAGACAGAUUUAUGCUAGCCAUAUAACGUUGUCUCGUUUUAACAGUGUAUUAAGUCAAAGACCCGCGUCGCGAGUGGCCCCACCGGUGGCGUUGGCGUGUCGCGCCACUCUCUACACGUGUGCGGCGAUUCCAUACAAAACGUAUUAAAAACAUUCAUAUAAUGACAAGAUAUGGUUGUACUAACAAAAAAAAAAUCACGGUUUGAUCACUAAAAAAAUCAGCGCCAUCUCUUAAACACUCAUGAACUCGGCAUUUUAGCAAUGCAAGGCAACGUCUGCUAGCGUUUGAAAUCCAGACGUCACAGUUCGCUUCGGUGCUCCUUACACAUUUUAGCACCGAGGAAUCGGUGCCAUUUUGUUUGUUCAUUGACCGGGUCCAUACGAAGUAAUGUAAGCCUAUGGUUAAAAAUCAUGUAAGCAGCUUGUCGCCAGCCAUCGCUGUUUGUGGCCCGUUUGCGCGAAGCCUUAUUAUUAUGUUUAUUUAUCUCAAAAAAACCUACAAUAAUUUAUUAUCUUUAAAAUAUUGUAUAAACUUAACUUUCAUUAUUAUUCAAAAGCAGGUUGUAGUUAUGUAGACGUUGUAAUAAAUAAAUUAAUUAAAAUUAAUGAUUAUUAAUUAAUACUAAAAUAUUUUUAUACCCGUUUCGGUCAUCGUAGUGGAACAUUGAUUAAUUAUCGAUUAGUGUCAAAAAUCUAGUGUUAUAUUGUUGUAAGUGUUAAAUGUAAUAUGUAAUGUUAUUAUGAAAGUGUUGUUUGGUGAUGCGCGACGAAAAAUGAAGACUUAUUUCUUUUCUUUUAUUAGCCGCCGAUUCUUUUAUUAGUUGUGAAUUCUUUUAUAAGAAAGAAUAUGUCGUCAUAUCUUUAACAAAUAGCUAUUUUUUAUUAGUCGUCAUUUCUUUUAUAAGUUGUCACUUCUUUUAUUGGUGAAUUUGGAGCUUGAAAUUUUAUUUUUUUUUGGGUUUUAGUGUAAGUGGGGGUCUUAGGCCAAAAUAAUAAUCAAUAUCUGUAAUCUGUCAAUAGGUUACUUAGCAACGUUUUUAUUUGUCAAAAAUUGUAUGCUCAUUUUGACAAUUAACGUCGCUACGUAACUUAUUGACAGAUUACGGAUAGAUUGAUUAUAUUGAUUUGUUUCGGCUGUGUGUGCAAUAAUAUAAGCCUAACUUUUUCGUGUUCUUAAUCUAAAGAACAGCCACAUUUUUGAUUAGCUAUCUAUUCUUUUGCAGAGUCGUCUCUUCUUUUAUCAAUUGUCUUUUCUUUUAUUUGAAUUAUGGUCGCGCGUUACCAAAUACCACAAUUAAUAUUAACUUGUUAUAUAGGAACGGUACAGGUGGCACUAGAAACUUGUAUACAUGUAGGGUAUUUAUAUCAAAACAAUAUUAUAUACUUAUAGUACUUAAUUAUCAUGCUAUGUAUAUUGUAUAUCUGUGUAGAUUGAAUAUUUAGCCCCUAGCACCAAGCUAUUACUACAAUCCUAUGUUGUUUCAAAAUGAUGUUUUCGCCUCUGACACUUCGUCUGCGUCAUCACUUACCACCUGGUGAGAUUGCAGUCAAGGGUAACUUGACAGCAAAAGAAAGAAUCUAUUUUUAUUGUGUAUAUAAUUUCUAAAUUGAACUAAUGAAUGUAAUGUAAUGCUAUCCCUUUCAUAAUGCUCCGUGCGAAAAAGGAUAGCAUGAGAUAACAAAAGUUGGUGCAAGGGGUUAAAAUUCUUUUCUCAUUUUUUUUUUCAAGGACACCUUAUAUUUUAAUGAUGGUGUUAUAAGCAUUUAUCAAACAAUAUAAUGAGGUGCGCUUAACAAUUAAUAUAUUAGAUCGUAUUGUAUGUAUUUCUUACUUUUCACUAACAAAAGUGUAAGAUAUUUCGAUUAAUAUAAAUUAUUAUUGAAAUGAAUGAGAUUUUGUUGAUUUGAUUCCUAACGAUAUUUUGUUAAGUUAUGCGUUUAUACGCUGUAUUUUAAUAUAGAUCUAACUUUUUUAAAGAUAGCAAAAUAUUUCGUUUUUACAUUUAAAUAAUCUUAUGUUGUGAAAUAGGCAGCUGAAUUCAUUUUUACGGUUUAAAAAGUGCAGUCGUCGUCAAAUAUUGUUAUAUAACCCGUGGUAACUAGCAACAUGGCAACUUUUGUGAUAUAAAAAUUGCCAAGUUCUCAAAUAGACUCAUAAAUAAAGGUACUUAGUAAUCUUGACUACUUACAUUUAUUUGACGGUGACUGUGCGCAGGGUUGGCGUGCGAAUGUUUUAAACACGUUUUAAACUUGUUUUAAACAAAAAAAAAUAGUUUUUUUCCAACCCUAGUUGUACGUAUGUAAAGUUUUAUAACAGAAUGUCAAAGCACAGUAAAGUAAGAAUUUAGUUUUAAAAAUAAUAAUUUGCUCGAAAAAUUUGUAAGGGUCGGGCUACAUGCAUGCGAAAGAAAUAAGCAAUUCUAAAUAUUAAAUUAAAAGCAAUCGAUAAAUAAGGAUAUAAUAUAUCUUCUUUUGCUGUUAUAAAUAUGUAGUUCUUUUUCUUCUGCAUUUAUCACAUUAAACAACUAAUUUAAUUUUUUCGGUCAUACCUCUUUAGCGCAUUUUAUGUUAGACGCAUUUUCAGACGUUUACGUAAUUGAGCGAUUUGCCAAAAAAAAAAAAAAACAAUGAAUAUUGUAUCUUAAUGCCGGCUAAUAUAAUGCGAAUGGAUAAUAUCAUGAUUGGGACCAAAGCUUUAGGCGGUAUCUUGCAAAAAUAUCAUAUCAUGCUUUAAGUAAAAGCCUUAUCCACAAAUAGUAUGCAAUCUCAUAUGUGUGGUUCGUAUGAGGUUUUACACCUCACUAAUGUUGAUAUAAUUCGAGAGUCGAUACACAACGUCAGAGUAAAUUGGACCUAAAGCCCUUAUUUUAAAGCCAAAAAUGCAGAAGCACUGGUUUUAAUUUGACAUGUUUUUCACUUGGAUCGCUGGCUGUAUGUAUGAACGAACUUGAUCUUAAAACCAAGGCUAUUAAGGUCCAUUUUACUUUCAUGCGUAAGUUUUUACUGACGCUCUAAUUCUACCAACGAAGCAACGAAUUAACGGUGAACCUAAAAUCAAAGUUUAAUUUUAUGUUUUAUCAUAUGUAGUUAUUUGAUGAUGCUUGUCUUUGAUUUUAGCCGGCUAAAGUAGAAUGGUAAAGAAAAGCAUUUAGAUUCAAAUGAUUUUUUUUAACUGUUGUCAUUCCAAAAACUGCAAAUGCUUCUGUUCAUUAUUAUUAAUCGAAACAUAUUAAGUUAGCAAGCGGAUUGAAGCCGCCAUUCCCAUUAUAAAGGACCAAUUUAUAUACUUUUGAUUUUUGUUUUUUUUUUUUUAAUUUUACUGUAUAAAAAUAAUUUGAUUAGGUACUUGUUCUAUUCGCUGUAGAUUGUUAUGCGUGUGCUUAAUACAAGGUGGGUUUACUUCAGUGAUAAUAACUAUUUUUCAUUUUGAGCUAUCUGGUGCGUUAUCUAGGUAACUCAAAAUAAUUGUAAAAUAUUGUAAAGCAUAUAUAUCUACUUGUUGGUUCUAUUUUCAUCGCUGUUCUUAUGAUAAUAUAAUAUGAUUAGAAUUUAUUGAUAGGCAAGUCAUAAUUAUGUACCAACUAAAUAAUGCCCGCGACUUUAUCCGCGUGGAUUUAGGUUUUUAAAAUUCCAAGAGAAAUCUUUGAUUUUCUGGGAUAAACUGUAUUCUAUAUCCGUGUACGGGAAGCAAGUACUAAACGUCAAAAUCGGUCAAAUGGAUGCGCGGUGAAAAGCUAAAGCAGACAGACAAGACUUUCGCGUUUAUAAUAUUAGUAUGGAUUCAUGUUAGUGCAAUGUAAACCCACCCUAAUUUUUGUUUUAUUUAAACAUAAGUCUACACUAUAAAUAUAACAUUUUUUCUUAACAAUAACAUUGUUAUGUUACAAUAUUAAGCUAAAAGUUAUGUAGCAUUGUAUGGAUUCAACGUAUUAAAGUAGUUCUUCCACGAUUAGAGAUUUUUUGAAAGCAAUAAAAAUGUAUAUUUGAAAAUUUUAUUUCUAGUUGAUUGAUAGAUAUUUUAUUCUCCUCUGUAAUUAUUUGAGUGUGUCGAGAGUUAUAUUACGCGAUGUUAUACAGCAACUUUUAAUUCGCACAACACUUAUAUUAUUUAAUUUGUAUACUCUGUGCUCCAAAUCUAUAGAAUAAAGGUUGUAUGCAAGUAUUUUUGUCAGUACUUACACUCAUUAGUUUCUUACAGAGUUCACUAUCAAUGCAAUCUGAUGAUAAACACUCUGUUCCUUCACUCUCACAGUCCGAUGGGACGGCAAUCCGACACGACGGAAGCAUUAAUACGGCAUUGCAUAUAUUGAUAGCGUUGUCACUUUUAUUGAAUAGUAAUAUUAUUUGGGACGAUCAGUCCAGCCUUUGUCUAAAAUAUCCAUUUUUAUUUUAGAGUAAGUAUUUGGCGCAUAGAGUAAAAUAAGUAUUUUAGUGUAAUUAAUGAUUUGAUUAACUAAGUAUAAAUAUUAAAAUCUUUCACCUUGGACUUUCUUGUAUAUAAAAAGUAGUUCUUUUUUGGAUUAUUUUUGUUAAUUGGAGUGAAAAUUGUGAAAAUAAUAUCGGUUCAAGCGAGGAUUGUGUACGAACAGGCAAAAUGUGUAUUAAUAAACGUAAUUAUAAUAUUGA